UACGUAGGGUGCAAGCGUUAAUCGGAAUUACUGGGCGUAAAGCGUGCGCAGGCGGUUAUGCAAGACAGAUGUGAAAUCCCCGGGCUUAACCUGGGAACCGCAUUUGUGACUGCAUAGCUGGAGUACGGCAGAGGGGGAUGGAAUUCCGCGUGUAGCAGUGAAAUGCGUAGAUAUGCGGAGGAACACCGAUGGCGAAGGCAGUCCCCUGGGCCUGUACUGACGCUCAAGUGCGAAAGCGUGGGGAGCAAACAGG
rnacentral:rRNA from 1 species